rnacentral:rRNA from 1 species
CAGCAGCCGCGGGAAUACGAAGGGUGCAAGCGUUAAUCGGAAUUACUGGGCGUAAAGCGUGUGUAGGUGGUUGUUUAAGUCUGUCGUGAAAGCCCUGGGCUCAACCUGGGAAUUGCGAUGGAUACUGGGCGACUAGAGUGCGGUAGAGGAUAGUGGAAUUCCCGGUGUAGCGGUGAAAUGCGUAGAGAUCGGGAGGAACAUCAGUGGCGAAGGCGGCCAUCUGGGACAACACUGACGCUGAGGCACGAAAGCGUGGGGAGCAAACAGGAUUAGAUACCCGCGUAGUCCCUGUCUCUUAUAC